UACGUAGGGGGCUAGCGUUGUCCGGAUUUAUUGGGCGUAAAGAGCGUGUAGGCGGCCAGGUAGGUCUGGUGUGAAAACUCGAGGCUUAACCUCGAGAUGUCAUCGGAAACCAUCUGGCUAGAGUCCGGAAGAGGAGAGUGGAAUUCCUGGUGUAGCGGUGAAAUGCGCAGAUAUCAGGAGGAACACCGAUGCGAAGGCAGCUCGCUGGGACG
rnacentral:rRNA from 1 species